rnacentral:tRNA from 1 species
GCUCCUGUGGCGGAAUUGGCAGACGCGGCAGACUUAAAAUCUGUUUUCUUUGUUGUGGGUUCAACUCCCACCAGGAGUA